GACGGAGGAUGCGAGCGUUAAUCGGAAUUACUGGGCGUAAAGCGCACGCAGGCGGUUUGUUAAGCUAGAUGUGAAAGCCCCGGGCUCAACCUGGGAUGGUCAUUUAGAACUGGCAGACUAGAGUCUUGGAGAGGGGAGUGGAAUUCCAGGUGUAGCGGUGAAAUGCGUAGAUAUCUGGAGGAACAUCAGCGGCGAAGGCGACUCCCUGGCCAAAGACUGACGCUCAUGUGCGAAAGUGUGGGUAGCGAACAGG
rnacentral:rRNA from 1 species